rnacentral:tRNA from 1 species
CUGAACAGACGGNCCUCGAUCCCGCG